GGUCUUGUUCAGGCUGGCUGCGGAGGGGAGGCAUUCCAGGGCAGGGAAGCUGAGCUGGGAGCAGUCAUUGUCCCUUGGAAGAUCACCAAGAUGAUCAAGAACUGCCAAAGCUGGGACAAAAGUUCAGCCUUCCAUCACGAUCCUGCAAUAAUUCAACUCUGCACUUGCCAUCUGCAAAGACUCCAUAGCUAAAUGUUUCAAUCCACUGUACUCCCGUGAGCACAAGGAAAAGUUUUCCUUUGCCUACCUGCACAUUUAAAUGCUGAUCAUAAACAAAAUCAAGGAUACUCAUUCGCUAAACCAGUGAACAACAGAAAAUGCUUGGACAGAAGCCAACGCACAAAAUCACACAUCUGUAUCGAGAUGUAACAGGCAUAAAGGUAACUCAUACUUCAACAGUGACAAGGGUCAGACAGAAAUCUCCAGCCUCCCAGCAUCUACAUAGGAUUACUCCCUUGCUGCAGCAGAACCUGCAAAAGAAAACUGCCUGCACCUCACCCACAUCACUGCAAAUCCCUGAUUUUCAGAGCAAAUGAACCACUACCAUAGAAAUUUAGGCUAAACAGAUAAAAUGAUGAACAUCACUAAGGGCACAGAGUGCUUCUUUCAAGACCUGCAGAAGGAGAGCCUUUGACAGCUCAUGAGGCAAGAACAACCACCAGCAAACUUCUGCAGCUUCAGGAUUGCUGCAAAAUUUUCUGUCCUGUUUUCUGUAUAAAACUGUGUCAUCUGGGGUUGCAGACUAGCACCAAGAAGAAUUCCUGCUCUGCCUCUAAUUGCAUAAAGAUAAAGACGGCUCAAGAAAUCAAGAUUGAAGACUAGACUCGUGCUCUAGUUCACUCCUUUUCUUUUUUGUUGUUGGGUUUUUUUGUUUGUUUUCCCUUCCUCAAGAAAACAAGAGCAAAGUUGUAAGAUUUCCCACAGGGUGUUAAUCUGCAUAGGCAGUUACUUCUUCACAGGCUAAGGAAGGAACUGAAAUGGAAAGAAAAUAAAAUUCCUACUAAAAACUC